rnacentral:rRNA from 1 species
AUUGAACGCUCGCGGCAGGCCUAACACAUGCAAGUCGACCGAGUGGCGGACGCGUGAGUAAUGUCUGGGAAACUGACCGAUGGAGGGGGAUAACUACUGGAAACGGUAGCUAAUACCGCAUACCAUCGGAUGUGUCCAGAUGGGAAUAGUUUGUAGGUGGGGUAACGGCUCACCUAGGCGACGAUCCCAAGCUGGUCUGACAGGAGAACCAGCCAAACUGGAACGGAGACACGGUCAAGACGCUUACGGGAGGCAGCAGUGGGGAAUAUUGCAGAAUCGGCGCAAGCCUGAUGCAGCCAUGCCGCGUGUAUGAAGAAGGCCUUAGGGUUGUAAAGUACUUUCAGCGGGGAGGCGUUAACCGCAGAAGAAGCACCGGCUAACUCCGUGCCAGCAGCCGCUGUAAUAC